rnacentral:rRNA from 1 species
CCUACGGGAGGCAGCAGUGGGGAAUAUUGGGCAAUGGAGGCAACUCUUACCCAGCAAUGCCGCGUGAAUGAAGAAGGUCUUCGGAUUGUAAAGUUCUUUAAUUGGGGACGAAAAAAAUGACGGUACCCAAGGAAUAAGCCCCGGCUAACUACGUGCCAGCAGCCGCGGUAAUACGGAGGAUCCGAGCGUUAUCCGGAUUCAUUGGGUUUAAAGGUUGCGUAGGUUGUUUUAUAAGUUAGCGGUGAAAUACCGAUGCUCAACAUCGGGGCUGCCGCUAAUACUGUAGGACUAGAGAUCGGAUGCAGCAGGCGGAAUGUGUAGUGUAGCGGUGAAAUGCAUAGAUAUGACACAGAACACCGAUUGCGAAGGCAGCUUGCUAGGCCGGAUCUGACACUGAUGCACGAAAGCGUGGGGAUCGAACAGGAUUAGAUACCCCUGUAGUC